AGAGUUUGAUCCUGGCUCAGGAUGAACGCUAGCGGCAGGCCUAAUACAUGCAAGUCGAACGGGAUUGAGAAGCUUGCUUUUCAUGAGAGUGGCGCACGGGUGCGUAACACGUAUGUAACCUACCUUAAUCUGGGGGAUAGCCUCUCGAAAGAGAGAUUAACACCGCAUAACAUUAUCGGAUAGCAUUUUCUGAUAAUCAAAUAUUUAUAGGAUUAAGAUGGGCAUGCGGAACAUUAGCUAGUUGGUAAGGUAAUGGCUUACCAAGGCUACGAUGUUUAGGGGAUCUGAGAGGAUGACCCCCCACACUGGUACUGAGACACGGACCAGACUCCUACGGGAGGCAGCAGUAAGGAAUAUUGGUCAAUGGGCGCAAGCCUGAACCAGCCAUGCCGCGUGCAGGAAGACGGCCCUACGGGUUGUAAACUGCUUUUGUACCGGAAUAAACCUUUUCACGUGUGAGAAGCUGAAUGUACGGUAAGAAUAAGGAUCGGCUAACUCCGUGCCAGCAGCCGCGGUAAUACGGAGGAUCCAAGCGUUAUCCGGAUUUAUUGGGUUUAAAGGGUGCGUAGGCGGUUCUUUAAGUCAGGGGUGAAAGACGGUAGCUUAACUAUCGCAGUGCCUUUGAUACUGAAGAACUUGAAUACACUUGAGGUAGGCGGAAUGUGACAAGUAGCGGUGAAAUGCAUAGAUAUGUCACAGAACACCAAUUGCGAAGGCAGCUUACUAAAGUGUCAUUGACGCUGAGGCACGAAAGCGUGGGGAUCAAACAGGAUUAGAUACCCUGGUAGUCC
rnacentral:rRNA from 1 species